GCAUCGGUUGCCCCUCUCGUCCACGAGUGGACA
rnacentral:sRNA from 1 species